rnacentral:rRNA from 1 species
UACGGAAGGCAGCAGUGGGGAAUAUUGCACAAUGGGCGAAAGCCUGAUGCAGCUAUGCCGCGUGUAUGAAGAAGGCCUUUAGGGUUGUAAAGUACUUUCAUCGGGGAGGAAAAACAAAACUAAUAAUUUUAUUUCUUGACGUUACCCGAAAAAGAAGCACCGGCUAACUCCGUGCCAGCAGCCGCGGUAAUACGGAGGGUGCUAGCGUUAAUCAGAAUUACUGGGCGUAAAGAGCACGUAGGUGGUUUUUUUAAGUCAGAUGUGAAAUCCCUGGGCUUAACCUAGGAACUGCAUUUUGAAACUGAAAUACUAGAGUAUCGUAGAGGGAGGUAGAAUUCUAGGUGUAGCGGUGAAAUGCGUAGAUAUCUGGAGGAAUACCUGUGGCGAAAGCGGCCUCCUAAACGAAUACUGACACUGAGGGUGCGAAAGCGUGGGGAGCGAAACAGGGAUUAGAUACC